GGCUGCGUGUUCAAUAUAGAAUUUUAUUAAAAUAUAGCCAUACUCUAAUAAUAAAAUCCUAAAACAAAAGUGUACAGCAAUUUAUGAUAUACGCAAAAACUGAUCGGAAUAUAUAUCAUGUAUCCACGCUUUGUCUACACGUAUUUUACAACGCCUUGUUCAGGUUUCUGGUCUGAUAGUUAUAUAAGCGAAGUUUGUACGCAGGAUCUGUAUCACUGAAGUAAAAGAUAUUAUUAUCAACAAAAGUAUUAACAAAAUAAAAUGUUACAGUCGCAUACAGAAACUUCUAAACAUAUACACUUCAUACGAUUAAGAAAGAAAGAACAAUUUACAAUAACCUUAAUCUUAAAAGAAUGCAUUGCAAAGUGUGUCGACGUGAUGAAGACUUAGAAAUUCAGAUUAUCGCUUCAAAAAUGUAGGUAUGUUGGACAGACUUAGAAAUGCUCCCUUGCUAGAAGCCACAUGUACACCUUUCAGACAGUUACAUCGAGUUCGGGUUUUUAUACAGAGAGCAGCUAGACAUGCUUCGUAUUUAACCGUUCCUAUUACGACUGGACGUGACUGUAACUAAACUUGAAGAUCAAAACGAAUGACGACCAGAACUAAUACAAUGAUACAACUUACGUCCCCAUUUUAACAACAUUUUCUAAAAUAAUGACUCGGUGUCAUUUUGUUUAUAAAUUGCAUUACUUGGACUGAAAACUGAAUAAGAUUUUAAACACCAAAUACAUUUUUAUUCCUAGUUAUUUCAUUGGUUCAUCUGGAUCAGAACUAUAUUUAGACAGAAUAUGCAAAUUUUGUAUCUUCGUAGGUGUUUUAUGGAAAAUAUCUAACUUUGGGGGUUAUGGUGCCAUCAUAUAAACUGUAACUCAAACAGUAAGAAACAAAGAAGUAUAUCGGGUUUUCUCGUUGUUUAAGGCCGUAUGAUUGCUUACAUCCGCUUUAUUUAAACUUUAUCGGAUAGUUGUCUCGUUGGUAAGCAUACCAUCCUUAAUUUAAUGCACCACAACAAACUGCACCAACUAGCAUCAAGCAGCUCGUCAAAGAAUAAAAACAAACAAACUAAUAAGCGUCAAAGAAUAAAGACAAACAAGCUAAUAAGCAAAGACAAAGGUUAAGCCAUAAAAACAGUGAGUUGAAGCUUGAUACAUGACUGACUCAAACUAUUGUUGGGUUGAAUGUGUCACGCAUCAUUUGUUUCUAAAGAAAGACUAUUAAUAUAUGACUUUCAUGUCUAUUAACUUAUGGAGAGCCGAUGAGAUUUUCAUUAGUGUUUAUCGGCAAAUUUCAGUUAGCAUGAAUUCCUGUUUUUUAAACUGACACCAAAGAUUGCAAUUUGGUACAAAUUUAUUUCAAAAAGUGUGUAUCCACUUAUAUAAUCGUCUGGUUUAAACCUUAUGCUGAAUUGACUCAAUAUCUUUGCCUUGACAAAAUCAGAAAACACGUUGAGACGGAGAGCUAAUCAAUUUUGCAGAUUUUCAAGCGAACAUUUAAAGAAAACCGCAUAUUUUAAUCAUGUUUAACCAUUAAUCGGCUUUAGAGUUAUCUUUCUUAGAACGGAACUAAUAUUUUCGCGCAUUCAUCGGAAUACUCGAAAACUCAAGCCGACGUCGUCAACCGCUUUAUCGCUGUCCCGUAAAGUGUGUAACCUCAAAGUCGAUUAA
rnacentral:lncRNA from 1 species